AGUAGUUGUUUGCACUAUUUAGACAAAUAAUUGACUACACUGAUCAAGUUAAGAAGACAUCACUCAGUAUGUUACGUUUUUGAAAAGGGGAGGGGCUUUUUGAAGCAGGUUGCGUGAGCAGAGCUGCUUCACUGAAGAGAUGGGUUGACGCGCCAACGGUUAAUCUUUGAAAACAACGUGAAUCGGUCCAUGUGAGAAGAUGCAGUGGAAGUGACUCUGCUGAUGAUCAUGUGUUCCAAGACCUUGACCUUGGAAUCCUCCUUGUUGAGCGUGAAGGUGCUGUGUCUCCGUCCUCUCUGCAUCUCAAUCCAGCCUCAUUUAAGAUUGUCAUCGAGGGAGAAGUUGUGAUUAAAAGCAUUAAAGACUUGCCAAAGGCUAUGUAGC